AUUGAACGCUGGCGGCAUGCCUUACACAUGCAAGUCGAACGGCAGCACGGGGGCAACCCUGGUGGCGAGUGGCGAACGGGUGAGUAAUGCAUCGGAACGUGCCCAGUAGUGGGGGAUAACCAGUCGAAAGACUGACUAAUACCGCAUACGACCUACGGGUGAAAGCGGGGGACCGUAAGGCCUCGCGCUAUUGGAGCGGCCGAUGUCUGAUUAGCUAGUUGGCGGGGUAAGAGCCCACCAAGGCGACGAUCAGUAGCUGGUCUGAGAGGACGACCAGCCACACUGGGACUGAGACACGGCGCAGACUCCUACGGGAGGCAGCAGUGGGGAAUUUUGGACAAUGGGCGCAAGCCUGAUUCAGCCAUGCCGCGUGCGGGAAGAAGGCCUUCGGGUUGUAAACCGCUUUUGGCAGGAACGAAACGGCGCAAGCCAAUACCUUGCGCUAAUGACGGUACCUGCAGAAUAAGCACCGGCUAACUACGUGCCAGCAGCCGCCGUAACAC
rnacentral:rRNA from 1 species